rnacentral:rRNA from 1 species
AGUGAACGCUGGCGGUAGGCCUAACACAUGCAAGUCGAACGGCAGCACAGUAAGAGCUUGCUCUUACGGGUGGCGAGUGGCGGACGGGUGAGGAAUACAUCGGAAUCUACUUUUUCGUGGGGGAUAACGUAGGGAAACUUACGCUAAUACCGCAUACGACCUACGGGUGAAAGCAGGGGAUCUUCGGACCUUGCGCGAUCGAAUGAGCCGAUGUCGGAUUAGCUAGUUGGCGGGGUAAAGGCCCACCAAGGCGACGAUCCGUAGCUGGUCUGAGAGGAUGAUCAGCCACACUGGAACUGAGACACGGUCCAGACUCCUACGGGAGGCAGCAGUGGGGAAUAUUGGACAAAGGGCGCAAGCCUGAUCCAGCCAUACCGCGUGGGUGAAGAAGGCCUUCGGGUUGUAAAGCCCUUUUGUUGGGAAAGAAAAGCAGCAGGUUAAUACCCCGCUGUUCUGACGGUACCCAAAGAACAAGCACCGGCUAACUUCGUG